UAGAGUUUGAUCCUGGCUCAGGACGAACGCUGGCGGCGUGCCUAAUACAUGCAAGUCGUACGCUUCUUUUUCCACCGGAGCUUGCUCCACCGGAAAAAGAAGAGUGGCGAACGGGUGAGUAACACGUGGGUAACCUGCCCAUCAGAAGGGGAUAACACUUGGAAACAGGUGCUAAUACCGUAUAACAAUCGAAACCGCAUGGUUUUGAUUUGAAAGGCGCUUUCGGGUGUCGCUGAUGGAUGGACCCGCGGUGCAUUAGCUAGUUGGUGAGGUAACGGCUCACCAAGGCCACGAUGCAUAGCCGACCUGAGAGGGUGAUCGGCCACAUUGGGACUGAGACACGGCCCAAACUCCUACGGGAGGCAGCAGUAGGGAAUCUUCGGCAAUGGACGAAAGUCUGACCGAGCAACGCCGCGUGAGUGAAGAAGGUUUUCGGAUCGUAAAACUCUGUUGUUAGAGAAGAACAAGGAUGAGAGUAACUGUUCAUCCCUGACGGUAUCUACC
rnacentral:rRNA from 1 species